UACGUAGGGGCCUAGCGUUGUCCGGAAUUAUUGGGCGUAAAGAGCUCGUAGGCGGUUCGGCAAGUCGGAUGUGAAAUCUCCACGCUCAACGUGGAGGGGCCAUUCGAAACUGCCGUGACUCGAGUCCGGUAGGGGAGUGUGGAAUUCCCGGUGUAGCGGUGAAAUGCGCAGAUACCAGGAGGAACACCGGUGGCGAAGGCGGAUCUCUGGGCCAUUACUGACGCUGAGGAGCGAAAGCGUGGGGAGCGAACAGG
rnacentral:rRNA from 1 species